GGAUUGCAUCUCACCAGAAGAAGGAGGUACUCCAUGGUAGACCUCUGAGCCACACAGAGUGGCGCUGCUACUGGAUAAACUCCCCUUGUGCUGUUGGAACACUGGAGACUAAUUAUAUGUGUAGAUGGUUGCCAGCCAAAGCCGACUGGUUUCUCAAGAGUUUUGCCUCCAGCCAGCGUGAUGAUACUAAACAGUUCUCACUCUCAGCAUUCACCGUGUUGUGAAGAACGAAGCCUUGAGCUGGACAUGGUGAUGCGACACAUGAAAUCCCCACAUUCUGGAGGCUGAGGCAGGAGGAUUGGCACAAGUUCAAGACUGACCUGGGCCCCAAUAUGAG